GGUCUCAUUUCAAAUUUAGCGGGUCGCUUAUUUCGCAGAGUAUUUGACAUAAGUACGUGGAAAAAAGAAUAAAUAAGACUAUCAGAUUGGGAGAAUCGAAUUCAAAAGUACCCACUGAACUAAUACCAUGUUAAAUCAUGUGUGACAACUAAUUUCUCCCAAAAAAAGGAAAAAAUAUUCGUGAGUUUAAGGUUUUGGAGAACAAUUAUUGUUUCACAAAUCUAUUAUCAUUCUGUAUGGCAAGAGAAUAGAGAUUUUUCUUUU
rnacentral:lncRNA from 1 species